rnacentral:rRNA from 1 species
UACGUAGGGGGGCUAGCGUUGUCCGGAUUUAUUGGGCGUAAAGAGCGUGUAGGCGGCCAGGUAGGUCUGGUGUGAAAAACUCGAGGCUUAACCUCGAGAUGUCAUCGGAAAACCAUCUGGCUAGAGUCCGGAAGAGGAGAGUGGGAAAUUCCUGGUGUAGCGGUGAAAAUGCGCAGAUAUCAGGAGGAAACACCCGGUGGGCGAAAGGGCGGGGAUCCCUGGGGCCCAGUACUGACGCUGAUGAGCGAAAAGCGUGGGGGAGCAAACAGGG